rnacentral:rRNA from 1 species
UUGGAGGGCAAGUCUGGUGCCAGCAGCCGCGGUAAUUCCAGCUCCAAUAGCGUAUAUUAAAGUUGUUGCAGUUAAAAAGCUCGUAGUUGAAUUUCGGGGUUCUACCGUUGGUCAGGCAAUAGUCUGUACUGGUGUGUGGAAUUUCUACCUUCUGGGGAACCAUCAUGUUAUUUAUUUAGCGUGGUGGGAAACCAGGACCUUUACCUUGAAAAAAUUAGAGUGUUCAAAGCAGGCUUACGUCUGAAUACAUUAGCAUGGAAUAAUAAAAUAGGACGGUGGUCCUGUUUUGUUGGUUUCUGAAUCACCGUAAUGAUUAAUAGGGAUAGUUGGGGGCAUUAGUAUUCAAUUGUCAGAGGUGAAAUUCUUGGAUUUAUUGAAGACUAACUUCUGCGAAAGCAUUUGCCAAGGAUGUUUUCAUUAAUCAAGAACGAAAGUUAGGGGAUCGAAGACGAUCAGAUACCGUCGUAGUCUUAACCAUAAACUAUGCCGACUAGGGAUCGGACGAUGUUAAUUUUUCUUGACUCGUUCGGCGCCUUACGGGAAAC